CCCACUCCUGCCCCACCCCCUAGAAAAGUUGUCGGUGGCCGCCUAUGGCUCGUUUUACUAGGCUAAUCAUGUGUUCUGGUUUUCGGAUUUGUGUGAGAGCCACCGACUUUGCUGUCGCUUCGUGUCUGUGUUGGCUGUGUGUUUGUGCGAGCGUGUGUUUUGUGUGCUGGUGUGAGUGCGGGUUGCAGUGGUGUUGGUGCUUCGUGCUUCGUGCUGCCGUGUGCUUGAGCAUUCACAUUCAUUCAACGCUCAACGGUUGCGUCGCUUUGGGGGCGCGCGCAUGUUAAAUUCAGUUGAGAGCUUUGCGAUUUUGUCGGCCCGUUUUUCUUUUCGAUUUGUUGCUUUCGCCGUUUUGGAUACCUAUUAGCCGAAACUAUGUUAGGUAUAUAUCUUUUCAUCGAACAAAAUAUACAAGCAUUUAAAUGAACCAUUUAAAUAAAUGUAAGUAGUCAUUAGAGAUACAUAUAAAAUUGAGAAAAGAUAUGCCAAAUACAUUUUUAAAAUGGGGAGUCCUAGGGUAUCAUCAUACUCGUUACUCCCUGAGGUAUUUCAAACUGUGUAUAGGAAACAUUUCACACGCUGCUUUUUGCCAAGCACUUGACUGUUGACUGGCUGUUGUUGUUGUGGUACGUAGUCCCACUUGUUGUUGUAGCUACUUCUGUUGUUGGAGUUGUUGAAAAUGUUGGGGUUCGUUGCCGUUGUCACACCGACGACAAUGCUGUUGUUCUUGUCCCUGGUGUUGUUGUUAUUGCCAUCUGUGUGUAGUAGUGUAGCCCCCAUUCGGUAUUGCUCUGUUGCCAGUCACUCGCGUGUGUUGUGUUAUCAACUUCACUUCAGUUGCUGGCUGGCUGCAAGGCGCGACGCUUGCACGUCGUCUGUCUGCCAGAAGUCUGCUGCCCGGGCUAUAAUAUCGGGUAUGGAGGGAGGGGUGGCUAUGCCCACUGUUCCUCUAACCGGGGUAAUCGGUUUGAGUUCAUUUUCAUUUAAAUGGAAUUAAAUAUGGUAAAUGAUGAAAUCAAGGCGGCCGAGAGAGACAGCAGCUGUCGUGUGUGUGGUGAGUGCGACGACCGACCGACAGCCGACAAGCGACCGAAGCGAAGAAUUCCAUAUCCAGACCGUCUGAAAUUUUUGCACUCUUUUGAAGAGGCACAUUUGUAAUCCAUAUAAUAAAUAAAUAAUUUUUCAAGGGGCAGCCAGGCGGCAGGCAUUA